UAGGAGGUUUCGUGAAUCAGAGUAUCCAUCUCUUCAUGUUUCAUCCAUCGAAGCUUAUAGGCAUUAAACUGAGGCUGAUCAUCUGAGGGAGCAAACCCUUGAGCAAAUGGAGAAGACGAUGACGACCGGACAAGCAGCUCGCGGUCUUGUCGCUUUGGGCGACCACUUUUAUAGGCUUCGUGCUCUCAGCUCUCUCUGGGCAGCUCCUCGUCCACGACAA